rnacentral:rRNA from 1 species
GACGUAGGGGGCGAGCGUUGUCCGGAUUCAUUGGGCGUAAAGCGCGCGCAGGCGGCCCGGUAAGUCGGAUGUGAAAUCCCACGGCUCAACCGUGGAACUGCAUUCGAAACUGUCGGGCUAGAGGCAGGUAGGGGAGAUUGGAAUUCCCGGUGUAGCGGUGAAAUGCGCAGAUAUCGGGAGGAACACCGGUGGCGAAGGCGGAUCUCUGGGCCUGUCCUGACGCUCAGGCGCGAAAGCUAGGGGAGCAAACAGG